UGAAGCCGAUAAUUAUGAGAGUUCUUCAGAAAUCUUCACUUCUGCAUAUUUUGUUCCUUCUUUGUGUAUUAGCAACUCUAUACUGUUCUAGUUGCAGGCAAAUCUCGAAGACGAAGAUGGAAGAAGAAAGGCCAGCAACAAAGAGGGGCUUGUCUUUUCCAUUCACAAAGUUUUAUGCUGCAGAAUUGCGACGCAGAAGUGUGGAUAUUAAUGGAAGUCACAAAGUUUCACUUGCUGCAACUCCAGGAGGACCAAACCCUCUUCAUAAUUAACUGACGAGUUCAGAUUAUUAAUAUAGACCAGUAGCUAUGAUGCGAGCUCCAAGAUAUUCCCUCACCCUCUUUCUUCUUGUCCUUGUCGUUUUGUCUGAAACGCAGCGUUCAACGUCAACCUCUCGUUCCGUCGUCAUCAUCAGCCGUGGAGGUUCAGAAACAAAGCCGGUUUCUUCAUCAAUGUUCAUCAAGAGGUAUUCUGCUAUUCUCUCCUCCUUCGCCCCCUUGAAGAAGAAGAAGAACGAUUAUAAGUCGAAGCAGAUUCAUAUGCGUCAUGUUUCUCACAGGCUCGUCCCUUCUGGACCAAACCCUCUUCAUAAUUGAUCGCUUUGCCUAUGAUCGAAGAUAUAUAUAUAUAUAUCUGUAUGUAUGUAUAUGUAAUGGAUCAGACUAGAAGAUUAAAGCUUAAGCAGUUGAGUAUGUCAUAUAUGUAUAUAUAUAGAGUUCACUUCAGUACUCUGAAUCUAUGUUAUACUUCUGUGCGUGUGUUGCUUUAAAUUAAAAUCCUUUUUGGUUUCU